rnacentral:rRNA from 1 species
UCCGGAGCUAACGCGUUAAAUCGACCGCCUGGGGAGUACGGCCGCAAGGUUAAAACUCAAAUGAAUUGACGGGGGCCCGCACAAGCGGUGGAGCAUGUGGUUUAAUUCGAUGCAACGCGAAGAACCUUACCUGGUCUUGACAUCCACAGAACUUACCAGAGAUGCUUUGGUGCCUUCGGGAACUGUGAGACAGGUGCUGCAUGGCUGUCGUCAGCUCGUGUUGUGAAAUGUUGGGUUAAGUCCCGCAACGAGCGCAACCCUUAUCCUUUGUUGCCAGCGGUCCGGCCGGGAACUCAAAGGAGACUGCCAGUGAUAAACUGGAGGAAGGUGGGGAUGACGUCAAGUCAUCAUGGCCCUUACGACCAGGGCUACACACGUGCUACAAUGGCGCAUACAAAGAGAAGCGACCUCGCGAGAGCAAGCGGACCUCAUAAAGUGCGUCGUAGUCCGGAUUGGAGUCUGCAACUCGACUCCAUGAAGUCGGAAUCGCUAGUAAUCGUAGAUCAGAAUGCUACGGUGAAUACGUUCCCGGGCCUUGUACACACCGCCCGUCACACCAUGGGAGUGGGUUGCAAAAGAAGUAGGUAGCUUAACCUUCGGGAGGGC